UACGUAGGGUGCAAGCGUUAAUCGGAAUUACUGGGCGUAAAGCGUGCGCAGGCGGUUUUGUAAGACUGUCGUGAAAUCCCCGGGCUCAACCUGGGAAUGGCAGUGGAUACUGGCAAGCUAGAGUGCGGUAGAGGGUAGUGGAAUUCCCGGUGUAGCAGUGAAAUGCGUAGAGAUCGGGAGGAACACCAGUGGCGAAGGCGGCUACCUGGACCAGCACUGACACUGAAGCACGAAAGCGUGGGGAGCAAACAGG
rnacentral:rRNA from 1 species